rnacentral:lncRNA from 1 species
GAUCUACGGGAAGCUCCAAGCUAGUCCGAAUGAUCUUCAUGGAGUAUAGCCCAGAGAAUGGAUAUGAUCCGAAAGCUUUGUUUCCAAGAUCACUUCUAGUCAAUUACAAAACUGCCCGAGCCGGCCACCCAACAACGGUGGUCAAGUUUAUAUUGCCACAAGCACGCCGAACUCAAGAAUAGCUUCUCCUCUUCAAUCCUAGGUACAGGCAAAACCCGUGGAAGAAUUUGCCCAAUUCGUGGAGAGGAAGAGGAGCUGCUUGUUAUAGAGCUUUUGGGGAUAAAAGUUCCACUUCACAAAUCUUUUGGUAACAAAAGUGGAUGCGAACUAGGACCAUCUCAGCAGAAGAAGGCCUUGGAGGCCUAAAUUUGAAGACUAGACUCUGAUUCUUGAGAGAAAAACUGAAUUAGAGGGAUUAAAAGGUUGUGAAUACAGAAAUAAAGGCAGGAUCUGCUCUAUUUAAAAUGGCGGAGGAAAGCCAAAUGGAACGUCAUUAAUGGAGAGGCUAAUAGUCUACCAUUAACAUAGAAGAC